rnacentral:rRNA from 1 species
UACGGAGGGUGCAAGCGUUAAUCGGAAUAACUGGGCGUAAAGCGCACGCAGGCGGUCGGAUAAGUCAGAUGUGAAAGCCCCGGGCUCAACCUGGGAACUGCAUUUGAAACUGUCUGACUAGAGUCUUGUAGAGGGGGGUAGAAUUCCAGGUGUAGCGGUGAAAUGCGUAGAGAUCUGGAGGAAUACCGGUGGCGAAGGCGGCCCCCUGGACAAAGACUGACGCUCAGGUGCGAAAGCGUGGGGAGCAAAC